rnacentral:rRNA from 1 species
AUGAACGCUGGCGGCGUGCCUAAUACAUGCAAGUCGAGCGAACGGACGAGAAGCUUGCUUCUCUGAUGUUAGCGGCGGACGGGUGAGUAACACGUGGAUAACCUACCUAUAAGACUGGGAUAACUUCGGGAAACCGGAGCUAAUACCGGAUAAUAUUUUGAACCGCAUGGUUCAAAAGUGAAAGACGGUCUUGCUGUCACUUAUAGAUGGAUCCGCGCUGCAUUAGCUAGUUGGUAAGGUAACGGCUUACCAAGGCAACGAUGCAUAGCCGACCUGAGAGGGUGAUCGGCCACACUGGAACUGAGACACGGUCCAGACUCCUACGGGAGGCAGCAGUAGGGAAUCUUCCGCAAUGGGCGAAAGCCUGACGGAGCAACGCCGCGUGAGUGAUGAAGGUCUUCGGAUCGUAAAACUCUGUUAUUAGGGAAGAACAUAUGUGUAAGUAACUGUGCACAUCUUGACGGUACCUAAUCAGAAAACCACGGCUAACUACGU